CGUGUCACCUCCGUGAGAGCGCUCUUCUCCUACGCUCUGGACACACUCACUUGGAGCCAUGUGCAGGAGGGGCUGCGCUCUGUUGCCAACAUGGGUUGGACCUGGAGAGGAAUUCUGGCACCCUGUCCUACAGAGCCUCGCCUCCUCGUUCCCUUUGUUGGCUGAGGGACAGCAAAUAGCAUUUCAAAAGGCAGCUUCCCAAGCAUACACUGUGUUAGAGGAAACGUCUUCUAAGUCUUUCCUCAUGGAGAACUGGGAAGAUGAGGGACUUGGUGGCUGUUUAAAAUUAAGCCGCCCCCUGAAAUAAAAGCCGGAGAGCUCUCCCCUGACAAGGAAGCCGACGGGAAGGAAGGUGCACGGAGCUACCAGGAUAAGUACCUGCA